rnacentral:rRNA from 1 species
AUUGAACGCUGGCGGAAUGCCUAACACAUGCAAGUCGAGCGGGGGUAGUAAUACUUCAGCGGCGGACGGGUGAGGAACACAUAGGAAUCUGCCUUUAGGUGGGGGAUAGCCAGGGGAAACUCUGGGUAAUAACGCAUGAUCUUGAGAGAGAAAAGGGGCGAAAGUCUAGCUAUUAGAGGAGCCUAUGUCUGAUUAGUUCGUUGGCGGUGGAAUGGACCACCAAGGCGAUGAUCAGUAACUGGUCUGAGAGUACGAUCAGUCACACCGGAACUGAGACACGGUCCGUACUCCUACGGGAGACAGCAGUGUGUAAUAUUGGACAAUGGGCGAAAGCCUGAUCCAGCAAUUCCGCGUGUGUGAGGAAGGCCUUCGGGUUGUAAAGCACUUUAGUUGGGGAAGAAACAGCUUGGCCACACCAAGCCUUGACGGUACCCAAAGAAUAAGCACCGGCUAACUCUGUGCCAGCAGCCGCCGUAACAC